rnacentral:rRNA from 1 species
GAUGAACGCUGGCGGCGUGCCUAAUACAUGCAAGUCGAGCGAACAGACGAGGAGCUUGCUCCUCUGACGUUAGCGGCGGACGGGUGAGUAACACGUGGAUAACCUACCUAUAAGACUGGGAUAACUUCGGGAAACCGGAGCUAAUACCGGAUAAUAUAUUGAACCGCAUGGUUCAAUAGUGAAAGACGGUUUUGCUGUCACUUAUAGAUGGAUCCGCGCCGCAUUAGCUAGUUGGUAAGGUAACGGCUUACCAAGGCAACGAUGCGUAGCCGACCUGAGAGGGUGAUCGGCCACACUGGAACUGAGACACGGUCCAGACUCCUACGGGAGGCCGCAGUAGGGAAUCUUCCGCGAUGGGCGAAAGCCUGACGGAGCAACGCCGCGUGAGUGAUGAAGGUCUUAGGAUCGUAAAACUCUGUUAUUAGGGAAGAACAAAUGUGUAAGUAACUAUGCACGUCUUGACGGUACCUAAUCAGAAAGCCACGGCUAACUACGUG